rnacentral:rRNA from 1 species
GUUAUACUAAAGGGCUGAAUGAAAAUUAUUUAGGUUUAAGUAGUUUGUUGAAUAAAAAAUUAAUAUUUACUAUUAACUAGCGGAUUGAUGGGUGAAAUUUGUUCGAUGGUAGUCUAGUUGUUAGUUGUUUUGAUUUUGUAAUGAAGCUGCUAAGGUCUGGGCAUAGACCAGGAUUAGAUACCCUGUUAUACCAGGCUUGAAAUAAUAGUAAUCUUGAUUAGUAAUAAUAAAUUAGUUUGAAAUUCAAAGGGUUUGGCGGUAUUUUAGUCUAGUUAGAGGAACCUGUUUUAUAAAUGAUAAUCCGCGUAAUAUCUUUCUUGCUUUGGUUUGAGCUAGUAUACCAUCAUUGUCAGAUAAUUUUAUUUGCCGAAGAAAUUAUUGUAAUUAAUUUGUUUUUAAAUAUAUUAGAUCACGGUGCUGCUAAUGAGCAAGUGAAAAAUGGGUUACAAUAAUCUUAAUUUAUUACGGAUACGUUAAAUGAAGUUUACGUUGAAGGUGGAUUUAAUAGUAACAUUGAUUUAAUAUGUAUUUGUGAGAUUAGCUCUAAAAUAUGUACAUAUCGCCCGUCGCUUUCAUUUUAAGUGAGAUAAGUCGUA